CGCGCAGGCGGUCGAUUUAGUCGCGUGUGAAAGCCCCCGGCUCAACUGGGGAGGGUCACGCGAUACUGAUCGACUCGAAGGCAGGAGAGGGUAGUGGAAUUCCCGGUGUAGUGGUGAAAUGCGUAGAUAUCGGGAGGAACACCAGUGGCGAAGGCGACUACCUGGCCUGUUCUUGACGCUGAGGCGCGAAAGCUGGGAGCAAACG
rnacentral:rRNA from 1 species